GAACAAUCCGACAGCGACUCUGAAACCGCUGAACGUGGUCCUGAGCAGCCAGCCGAACAACCCACGACCGACGAAGAGAACGCCCCACCUCCUGCACCUGUACAGAAAAAACGGUUGAAGAAGAAGAAGCGGGGCAGAUUUACGCCAUUGCAGAGAUUAAACAGGAUGAAGCUUGGGUACU